AGGUAUGACGGCCAAGGCUCUACUUUCGUGGUCAGCAUUCGCGAGUCUCCUUCUGAUACAGUUUGCCAGCGCAGGAGGACCACCUCAAAUGGUCGAGAAGGAGACGCUGCUCUCUGCAACCGACUGUCUGAAGGAGCUGUUGCGAAUGACGUCCAAGAGAUGGUGCAGCGUCAUCCUGAUGACAGACGGAGACAUCUCCCCACGAGCCGUCAAAAAGGUGAUAUACAAGAUGCAGCCAGAGUUUGGCAUACGGCUUUAUGAAGUGAAGAUGCAAGACCAAAUCUUGAAUGAAACACAACAGCGACUUUCUGACAUAGUUCAAGACGUAAUUAAAGUAAGUUC